UACGAAGGGGACUAGCGUUGCUCGGAAUCACUGGGCGUAAAGGGUGCGUAGGCGGGUCUUUAAGUCAGGGGUGAAAUCCUGGAGCUCAACUCCAGAACUGCCUUUGAUACUGAGGAUCUUGAGUUCGGGAGAGGUGAGUGGAACUGCGAGUGCAGAGGUGAAAUUCGUAGAUAUUCGCAAGAACACCAGUGGCGAAGGCGGCACUCUGGGCCGGUACUGACGCUGAGGAGCGAAAGCGUGGGGAGCGAACAGG
rnacentral:rRNA from 1 species